rnacentral:lncRNA from 1 species
GUUAAUACAAGUAGAAUAUAGCGUUUCAUGUUAGAACUUUGUUUUAAGAUCUUUUAUCAUAAUUUUCCCUUCUUCCCAAAUAGAAGGAUUAUUAUAAGUCAUUUUGAUUAGACUGUCAAAAGCUUCUUUGUUGUAUUUUGCAGAGAGUAUGAAUAAUCUAUAUCAUGCUUUUAAGGAGAAAGAAUUUGAAAUUAGGCAGGUUAGUAUUUGGCCAAACAGAUUCAGUGUGCUGGUAUUCAUUUUGAAAACAAUAUCGCUUUAGAAAUGUCACGUGCAAAAAAAUCUAUGUAAUGGUGGGAUUCAUUUAUGUUAUUUUUGGUAUUUGAGGUUUUACUGUUGAGAGAAUGUUGAUAAUAUGACUAAUGGCAUCAUGAUAAUAUUUCGGGCUAAAGAAAACAAGUUACAAUUACUUAUUUUAAAGAAGUAUAUAUAUUUUGUACUUUGUAAUAGUGUGUACUUGGUAAAGUAUUCACAGUGAAACCCCAUCUUUUUGGUAACUAUUUUUACCAUUAGAAUGAAAUAGCAUUUGGAAACAGUAGGGUAGUUUUCAUCUGCAGGAUUAAAAAGAAUCUGAACAGAAAAUGGAUUCAUAUCAUCUUCUUUUGGGGUACCAAACGUAGAAAAAUAUAUAGCAGUUGAUUUAUUAUAAGUGGGUUGAAUUUUCUCUCCUGGUGGGCUUUUGAAACCUUUAGUUGCUGUUCUUAUCCUUGCUGUGUGAAUAUCAUUUUUAUAUCACUUUUUGUUAAAAGGAAUUUCCCAUGAAAGUCCACCCAAAAUAGCCUGGAAUCUGAUUAUUCUCCUUCCAUGAAAAUUUUGAUGGGUUUGGGUCAGUUUUAUACCUCUCUUCAGUUCAUUUGAUUUUUACCAGGUUCUGUAAUGACAGAAUUGUUCAUGAAUGGAGAGGACAUUCUAGCCUUCAGGGCCAGACAGGAUUUUAUCCGAAUGACACAAAAGAACCACAAGGAGGGUAAUAAAAUCCCAUGCCAUUAGGAAGGCUAUGAGAUGGUGAAUUUUUAUGGUUAUAGUAGGUGAUCAGGUAAACAUUUUUACCUUUCCCUCUUGGAAAAUUUAAGUUGAAAAAGAGGGUAGAGGAGAAAAAGCAUUAAAAAAAAAAACAAACAACAACAACGAAAAACCUUCCCAAGUACUUACUUUAGGAUGGUUUUAAAUUUUUAUAUUUCUGAAUUCAUAUGAAUUUUCUCUAGCCAAAACCUAUUUGUCUUAAUAAUAAAGAAGCUAGAAUGUGAUUAGGACCUUUAAGGUAAAUAUCAGAAAAAAACAACAAAUCCUAUAUUUUAAAAUUCAAACACUAUUGUGUUUUCAUUCCAUAAAUGUAAUAAAUCAUAUUUUGUACAAUCACUCACAAUUGCUAUAAUAUUUGGACUGUGAGUCCUAAGGAGCUUAUCUCAGACUUUAGAUUGGUGUUGACUAUAGGUAAAGAUUUUGCCAUUUGUUUUAGAAAAAAAAAAUUGCUCUUAAAUGCUUGCUUCUUUUCAGCUAUAAAUAAAUUAAUAUUUAUUUUGAUUUAAUAAUUUCAUAUAAAUAUUUGACUUUUCCCAUAACAAUAUAGAAG